GGCAUUUCUCAUAAUUUCCCAUUCUCGUUGAAUCCUCCCCUCGGUGUGACUGCAGUAACGCUCUUGCAUAAAACACCAAGGAACAUGUUGGCCUGGAACAAAACUGCGUAUUCUCAGCAAAUCGCAUUAAGCUUAUAGUUUCAGGCCUAGCCGAUUUUCUCUCCACAGGAAUUUUGAAGACGCCCAUUGAGAAUACAUCUACUUGUCAAAGCCCAGUUGACUAAUUUAAAUUGCUUGGGGUUGUGGUCACUGGGAAUUCGUGAAUGGAUGAUGAACAGAAUUUACAUCGUUGUCACCGUUUUUAUGAUUAUUCUAUUGAUAUGCUGAAGAAAGACAUGCAGGUGAGAUCUAAUGGGCUCAGCAGACACUAAGACUGGUUCCUCUGUUUACUCCCUGCAGCCCCUGCUGGUUUCAAGUGUUUUUCAUUUGAAGGAAGCAGAGGAGCUCCCCCUCUGCCAAGAUGGACAGAAGCAAAAAGUCUCUGUCAGGUGGAGGGAGAAAAGAUGUGUG
rnacentral:lncRNA from 1 species